UACGUAGGGGGCAAGCGUUGUCCGGAAUCAUUGGGCGUAAAGCGCGUGUAGGCGGCCAGAAAAGUCCGCUGUGAAAACUCGAGGCUCAACUUCGAGCUGUCGGUGGAAACUUUCUGGCUAGAGUCCGGAAGAGGAGAAUGGAAUUCCUGGUGUAGCGGUGAAAUGCGCAGAUAUCAGGAAGAACACCCGUGGCGAAGGCGGUUCUCUGGGCCGAUAUUGACGCUGAGGAGCGAAAGCGUGGGGAGCAAACAGG
rnacentral:rRNA from 1 species